rnacentral:tRNA from 1 species
CCUUCGAUAGCUCAAUUGGUAGAGCGGUGGACUGUAGAUCCAUAGGUCGCUGGUUCAAAUCCGGUUCGAAGGA